rnacentral:tRNA from 1 species
GAGGGUAUAGCUCAGUGAUAGAGUGCCUGCUUUGGAUGCACGAGGUCCUGGGUUCAAUCCCCAGUACCUCCA